rnacentral:sRNA from 1 species
AUGUACCACUCGUACACUGCGGUUCCUGCGCGCCGUCCGCGCCCACCUGACGGCUGCUCGCGAGCACAUCGAAGGUA